UUGUUUGGAACGCCUCAGUGUUUAUUUGGAUUCACACAGAGCCGAGGGGAUGGUGUCUCAACAGUACCGUGGAUUUUGUUCUAGAAUGUCUCAAAGGUACUCUUGAUUUCCUUCUAGAAUGUCUGUAACGAUAUUCUGGAUUUUCUUCUAGAAUACCUCAACGUGGAUUUUCUUCUAGAAUUUCUCUAACGGUACUUAAAUUAUAGCCCUGAGAUGAGACAAAAUGGACGACAUAGAUGAAAUAGCACCAUUCAACUACUCUAUUUAUAGACAAUUCAUUUGAAAAACAGGGGCAGAUUGUUACCGAUUCCAUUUUUUUUGUUUGCUUGUGAUUUUUGUGUUUCUGGAUUUUCUUCAGAUUGUUCCCUAUUCUAUUUGUUUUUUGUUUGAGUGUGAUCCUCUUAUGUUUUUAUUCAGUUUUUGCAUUUGGAUUUUUAUCAAUUUCAAUUUUCAUGGUAUUCUGUGGAUGGUGAAUUUUGAAUGGGGCACUGAGGAGGGCAGAGCUAUAUUUCCAGUUGCAUUUUCCCUAAUAUGCAAGGAGGUAUUCGAUCUCGGACCUAUGCCGCCAUUGUUUGGGAGAUGGAUGCAGAGUCUGCGGCUUAUGGAGAUCGGCUAUAAUGCGUCCUGCCACAAGCCAGGGUUAGCCUCACAGGAAAUUUCAUCCCAUAGCUGUGAAUCAAAAAGAUCAGCAGCCCUAUGUUUUUUAUUCCACUGCAACUGUGCAUAACAUUGGUAAAGAAGAAGUGAAAGGGUGGAAGAUUUUUAUUGGGUUCCAGCAUAGGGAAUAGCUGGUGACAGCGAGCAAUGCUCCGAUCGACGAUUGGUUCAAUUUGCCUGCUAAUGUUAGCAAUGGCACUGUUUUGUCAGGGUUCCAACUUCUGACAGAUAGAUCUCAGGACUGCUAUUGAGACUGCAAUAUGACUGGUAAGUAGUUGGUUCUGGCCCCAUCAUAGUUCUUUCUUGGAGAAAGGGGAAAUCAUUAAGGAAUGAACUUUUGUCUAGCUCUCCUUUUUGAAAAUUAUAAGUAUAUGGAAAAACUCUAGUCCUAUAAUAUGGUGUAUGAUUUUUCUCUAAGUGAAAACCACAAUUUCUUAAACCGAAAACAAUAUGGUGUAUGGUAUUUAAUGUAUUUCAAAAGAUUUCUGAA